GUGACCGUGGUGGUGGAGGAUGAGGUAGCCAACACUGUAUUCUAUGGGUUUUUUUUAAAUUGUGGGAGCCGACAAAAUAUUGGGACAUACAAAUAAAUAAACAUUUGCGGCCUGUGGUGCAUAGUUGUGCAAGAACUUUGUUGACUCUAGAGAACCUCGGGCAAAUCGCACAUCCCCGUGGCGGCGACUUUGCAUGCGGAUGUCAUUCAUAUCAACUUUCGAUGCCAGUUUCUGUGCCUACCAUGGUGACCACGAGUAAUGGGGAAUCAGGAUUCCAUUCCGUACAGGGACCCUAAGAAAUGGCUACCACAUGCAAGGAAGGCA